CUGGGGGAGGGGGGUGACUAUGAGGUCAUCACCUUAAGCCAGUGACUCUAGGCUGAUGCUGCAGGCCUGCCUUGUUCUCACAGUGCUGGGAAACCUGAGGUGGAUCAACGAAAACCGCAGAGACCUUAACUUAUCCCAAGCCUCGGUUACCUGUUCCUGAAAAGCACUGGCUUGCUCCUCAAAUCCCGCUGUCCGGAAAUAAUUGACGACGUCUGUCACAGCCCAGUCUGCAGGAUCGGGAGGCCUUCCAUUUUCCAUGGGACUGCAAAAUACAAGUGGAAGCUGUCAGAGGAUGGCACACGUGCGGCCAUGACAAAGAAUCCAGCGCAACUUUGAAACAAGUCUGCUUGAAAAUGCCUACAACCAGACUCACUCCAGCUUAUGUGACUGAGGAAAGGACCAUUGUAGCUCAGAACCUGUCUGGGAGGAAAAUGACCUGUCUUGGAUUUCAAACAGCUGAGUUCGGAACACAGAUUUGCCACUUUCCCAUGUGAUGUUCAAAUAAAAACUAUUC